AGCACAUCCCUGGAAUCAGUAAAUUCCCUUGGGAUAUACCCAGAGGGCAAGAUCUGCAAUGGGGUAGAACCCAGACUCGGCCAGCUGGCACGGAUUUCUGCUCACUCUUGCUUCCUGGGACUCUUACUGAGGAACCCCUAGGUGAAGGAAUUGCAUUCCAAGCUGAGCCUCUCUCAAGCAAACCAGACAUGGUCUCUACCUGGAAAGCUGACUAAAUGGGGAGACAGGCAAUGGAAAAUCAUAAUAAUUCCACAUAAGGAAAAUAAAAGAGGCAUGAAUGAGUUAUAC
rnacentral:lncRNA from 1 species